rnacentral:rRNA from 1 species
GACGAACGCUGGCGGCGUGCCUAAUACAUGCAAGUCGAGCGUGACUCUUCGGAGUCUAGCGGCGGACGGGUGAGUAACACGUGGGCAACCUGCCUGUAAGACUGGGAUAACACCGGGAAACCGGUGCUAAUACCGGAUAAUCCUUUUCCUCUCAUGAGGAAAAGCUGAAAGUCGGUUUCGGCUGACACUUACAGAUGGGCCCGCGGCGCAUUAGCUAGUUGGUGAGGUAACGGCUCACCAAGGCGACGAUGCGUAGCCGACCUGAGAGGGUGAUCGGCCACACUGGGACUGAGACACGGCCCAGACUCCUACGGGAGGCAGCAGUAGGGAAUCUUCCACAAUGGACGAAAGUCUGAUGGAGCAACGCCGCGUGAGCGAUGAAGGCCUUCGGGUCGUAAAGCUCUGUUGUUAGGGAAGAACAAGUACCGGAGUAACUGCCGGUACCUUGACGGUACCUAACCAGAAAGCCACGGCUAACUACGUGCCAGCCGCCGCCGUAA